AUGGAGAGUUUUCAUGACUACAAGAUGGUGAAUAACCGUUCUGUGGUUGAACAAGCUCAUGAGAUACGGUGCAUUGUGAAGGAACUUGAACUCCUUAAAUGUGUUCUACCCAACAAAUUCGUGGCUGGGUGCAUGAUUGCAAAGUUGCCUCCUUCAUGGAGGAAUUUCGCCACAACUCUGAAGCAUAAGAGACAGGAGAUAUCAGUUGAAAAUCUGAUUGCAUCUCUUGAUGUUGAAGAAAAAGCUCGGGCUAAAGAUACCACUGAAAAAGGAGGUGAGGUUCAGCCUACUGCUAACAUGGUGCAGAGGUACCCACAGAACAAGAUAUUUCAAUCAUCUUCGUGGUGGAUUGAUUCGGGUCGCAAGGGAUUCUUCCGUCCUAAUGGGGAAUGGGUCACAUGCUUCUGUUCGUGGCAUUGGCACGGUGGAUCUGAAGUUUACUUCGGGAAAGAUCGUGCAACUAAGGAACGUGCAGCAUGUCCCUACUAUGAACAAGAAUCUAGUUAG
rnacentral:rRNA from 1 species